rnacentral:lncRNA from 1 species
CCUGUACUAGAAUGGAUCUCUGAACACCACAAACUGUACUAGAAUGGAUCUCUGAACACCACAACCUGUACUAGAGUGGAUCUCAGAACACCACAAACUGUACUAGAAUGGAUCUCUGAACACCACAACCUGUACUAUAAUGGAUCUCUGAACACCACAACCUGUACUAGAAUGGAACUCUGAACACCACAACCUGUACUAGAAUGGAUCUCUGAACACCACAACCUGUACUAGAAUGGAUCUCUGAACACCACAAACUGUACUAGAAUGGAUCCCUGAAUACCACAACGAUACACACAUGCAAUACAAAGUAAUAUAGGGUUUCACAACAAACAUGUGGCUACACAGUGUCUGAGACAAAUGGAAUACAGAAAUAUCGAUCAUGUUUUGAUAUUCACAGGAAACUCAUUACAGAUGGGCUGGUGAACAUGUACUCCAGUUUGUUCAUGAGACACUUAACAUCCUAUUCUGAUCGCUAUAACAACGAUAUGGUACAGGAAUGUCUAAAUUUGAGAGGCUAAAAACUUGCCUCAUUACAUCACAUGUCACAUUGGCCUGCUCUCGCUGUGCACAAAGACAACUGUCUCUUAAACUCACUUCAGUCAGAAUUGGAAAGUCCAGGAGAAAAAUAGAGGACCAUUACUUUAAAGGGAUAUUUCAGGAUUUGGCAAUGAGGCCCUUGACUUCUACAGAGUCAAUUGAACUUGUGGAUACCAAUUUCCUGUCUCUUCAUCCAGUAUGAAGGAAGUUAGAGGUAGUUUAGUGAGCCAAUGCUAGCUCGCGUUAGCGCAAUGACUGGAAGUCUAUGGGUAUCUACUAGCAAUGACUGGAAGUCUAUGGGUAUCUACUAGCAUGCUAGCAGAUACCCAUAGGCUUCCAGUCAUUGCGCUAACGCUAGUUAGCAUUUACACUAGCACUAGUUAAUCAACUUCCUUCAAACUUCACACAGAGAUAAUAAUGGUAUCUACGAGUUCAUCUGACUUUGGGGUAGUAGACAAAGUCAAAAUCCCAAAGUGUCCCUUUAACCCCACACACAGGCUUUAAAAUUGCACUCAGAAGACAAUUUAGGAUCCACAGAAACGAGCUGUUCUGAAAAACCAUGUUUGUUUCAUUCGUCUGAUCAUUUUUGACAAAGGUCAUGUUAAUUAUUAAACCACUCUAAAUCGGGUCUUAAUUUAAUUUUUCUGCUUCCGAGACAGCUGAUACCCUGCCGUCAUACUCUACUCUCUGCUUCCGAGACAGCUGAUACCCUGCCGUCAUACUCUACUCUCUGCUUCCGAGACAGCUGAUACCCUGCCGUCAUACUCUACUCUCUGCUUCCGAGACAGCUGAUACCCUGCCGUCAUACUCUACUCUCUCCCACUCGGCCAAUUUAGAAAUGAUUGCUUGCUGCGUACUUGAUGACCAGAAACUGAUUUUCCACCCACUUCAUAGAGCCAGGGUAAAUUUAGAACAGCACGAAGUAAUCAAUGUUGUGGGGAUUGAGAAUAUGGAUGACUAGCUGGUUGGGACUCAUUGACCUUGUAGCUUGAGGGUUAAAACGGCCUUCACUGCCCUUCAAAGCCUGGAGUAGAAUAGCUAGUUCUAAUGAUCCAGAAUAUGAAUCAACAUCACAUACCCUUUGAGCCGGAUGGAUAGAGUACAAACAGACCCUCUGAUUAGGCUUCUGGUUUGUAAGGAUCUGCUAUCUGCCGUUCAAAAUGAAUUAAGUCAAGGUCUGUUUUCCCUGUUAACAGUAUAAUGGAAUAUGAAUGCCACCAGUAUUUGACGUUGAAAGGUGCCAAUAAAUAUUUACUUUUUGU